GUGCAGCAGUCGCGAAAACUUUACAAUGUGCGAAAGCACGAUAAGGGAACUCUGAGUGCCUCCUAAGGAGGCUGUUCAGGUGUCUAAAAAGCACCUGGAGGAAGGGCUGGGUAAGACCGGUGCCAGCCGCCGCGGUAACACCGGCAGCCCAAGUGGUAGCCACGUUUAUUGGGUCUAAAGCGUCCGUAGCCGGCUGGGUAAGUUCCUUGGGAAAUUUGGCUGCUUAACAGUCAAGCUUUCAGGGAAUACUGCCCGGCUUGGGACCGGGAGAGGUCAGAGGUACUCCAGGGGUAGGGGUGAAAUCCAUUAAUCCUUGGGGGACCACCGGUAGCGAAGGCGUCUGACCAGACCGGGUCCGACGGUGAGGGACGAAGGCUAGGGGCGCGAACCGGAUUAGAUACCCCUGUAGU
rnacentral:rRNA from 1 species